AAACUUUCAACAACGGAUCUCUUGGUUCUGGCACCGAUGAAGAACGCAGCGAAAUGCGAUAAGUAAUGUGAAUUGCAGAAUUCAGUGAAUCAUCGAAUCUUUGAACGCACAUUGCGCCCGCCAGUAUUCUGGCGGGCAUGCCUGUUCGAGCGUCAUU
rnacentral:rRNA from 3 species